UACGGAGGGUGCGAGCGUUGUCCGGAAUCAUUGGGCGUAAAGAGCGUGUAGGCGGCUCGGUAAGUCCGCUGUGAAAGUCCAGGGCUCAACCCUGGAAUGCCGGUGGAAACUGUCGAGCUAGAGUCCGGAAGAGGCGAGUGGAAUUCCUGGUGUAGCGGUGAAAUGCGCAGAUAUCAGGAGGAACACCAAUGGCGAAGGCAGCUCGCUGGGACGGUACUGACGCUGAGACGCGAAAGCGUGGGGAGCAAACAGG
rnacentral:rRNA from 1 species